GAGCAGGGGCUUCAGCGUCCCUUUGUUUGCGGGAAGAACAUGGCGGAUCGGCUCACGCAGCUGCAGGACGCCGUGAACUCGCUUGCGGAUCAGUUUUGUAAUGCCAUUGGAGUGUUGCAGCAGUGUGGUCCUCCUGCUUCAUUUAGUAAUAUUCAGACAGCAAUUAACAAAGAUCAGCCAGCUAAUCCUACAGAAGAAUACGCCCAGCUUUUUGCAGCGCUGAUUGCACGAACAGCAAAGGACAUUGAUGUUUUGAUAGAUUCUUUACCCAGUGAAGAGUCUACAGCUGCUUUACAGGCUGCUAGCUUGUAUAAGUUGGAAGAAGAAAACCACGAAGCCGCCACCUGUCUGGAGGAUGUGGUUUAUCGAGGGGACAUGCUUCUGGAGAAGAUACAGAGUGCCCUUGCUGAUAUCGCACAGUCACAGCUGAAGACAAGAAGUGGUACCCACAGCCAGUCUCUUCCAGACUCGUAGCACCGGUGCAUGUGUACCAUGUGGCUGAGAAAGAACUGUCAGUGCCAUUAAGGAUUCGGCAUCAGAUUGAGAUGAAAUGGCUUACUGCAAAGAACCACCUUCCUCAGUAUGACCAAGUGAUAACGUACAGCAGCUGUCUGGUAAUCAGGAGGCAACCCUGAGGGUGGAAUCCACCACUAUAGACGGGAUUACAGGCUGAGAAGGGAGACUGGUGAACACUGAUGACAUUACAGAGCAACUCGACAGCCUGGAUUUAUCUUACCGAAAGGUCAGAACCACUGUCAAAGCAACCAUCUCUACCCAAGGAGUGAAGAAGAAAUACAGUGGAUCCAAGGACAGAGCUGCAGAUAAUUAGCAAAGACCCAUAUGGACAAGUGACUGGCGUCAGAGAAUUCAAGCAAGAGGCAUCAAAGACCUGGUCAAAAAGGUCAUAAUUCCGAGCAAGGAAAUUUAACUCCUGUGGAAAAUGGAGUGGACGGCAGAGGCUUCCUCCUAGAGGGACCAGGAAGUCAGAUCAAUUUUGACUCAAGGCUUCCUUGAGCGACGUGCUGACUUCUCUUUUCCUUUACUGAAACCAGGCCUGGCUUCCAGGGGAUGAAAAACAGGUUAACUAGCCUCAACCGCACAGGUCAGAGAACAAAGCCGUAGCCAGUGUUUCUACUAGCAAAUGAGGGCUUAUGAUAUGCCAGGCAGGGCUCUAAAUGUCUCUUGUGUCUCAGCUUACGUAGUUGUCCUAACAGUGCUGUGGAGAAAGCACUGUGAUUACAGUGAUUAAUUUAUAACUAAAAGUGCCACGGUUCUCCAUCAAAGUCCAGAGAACCAAAGACUGGAUGUUAUGCUGCUUUAUGCACCCAGGUCCCACCCCCAGGGCUCUUUUUGGCUUGCCUUUCUCUGGAAGACUCUGUGGGUCUUGAUUUCCUUGAUUCCACUCUCAACCAACCCACUCUCAGUGUUAGAUCCGUCAGCCAGCUGCCCAGGCAGGAAUCUGUAAGUGGCACAAAGCGUGUCCCCAACCCUGGCACAGCUGGAAAUUUGAUGCUGCUAAACCCAGAUUUUUUACGUGCACCUCCUUAUGUAAAUAGGGAAGUUGAAGUUAGGCCAACUGUUAUUUUAAUGCAUUUAAUAAUCCAUUACUUUGAAUAUGAACAUGCCAGAGGCAAAUUUAUUUAUGAUUAAUCAUCCUUUCCUGACUUCUAAGGAAAAGGGAUCCACAUUAACUGGAGGAUCCAUCCAAGAGCCUUUGAUACAUGGGAAGACAGGGGCAAGUAGUAACAAAUGGCUGUUGUGCAAGUUUGGAACAAGGCGCUGGGGCAGAGCAGAAAUGUUUGGUGUAAGACAGAGUUUGGGAGGGGAGGAGAGAGCGCAAGCAGGCAGGGACAGCUCCAGCUUCAGGCUGGGGGGAGAAAGAGUGGUUUCAAGCCAGGUAUAGAGACUGAAAGAAGAGAUAAAGCUAAUAGACUCCUUUCCUCCCUUCCUGUUUUUUUCCUUUGGUGAAAAGCUCUUCACUGUUCUUCAGUGGAAUUUUCAGGGGAAAAAAAUGUACUGGAAUCACUAACAUUAUCGUUACAUGGAGUUCUGUUGGGGGAAGCUUAAAAAAGAGGGUGAGUAUACGGCCGGCAUCAGGGUUAGAGACAGGAAGGAAAAGCAUACAGAUUCAAUUUGCAGAAAAUCAGUUGAUCCCUUAAUCACACGUACACACAAGUUAAGGGAAUGUUUUUAAGAUACUGGUUUGAAGAAUCAUCAAAUGAGUAGCUUAUCUAGAGCCCACAGACACCUGAGCACAACCCUGGCAGUACUUUCUGUGCAUGGCUCUGUAACGCUUUACCUUCCGGACACUGAAUAAUGUCUGAAGGAUGAAGGAUUGUCACGGUGGUACUGCCUGCCGGUUAGUUUGAUGGCACUGUUAUUUCUCCUAAACACUAGUAUGUGUCAUUUUUAGAAUAGUUUAAUGGCAUCCUGUCCUAAAUUUGAUAAAGAGGACUACAAAGCAGAAAAAUAAAUGCUGAUACUUAGAAAAACUAUAAAGUUGUCAACUCAAUAUAACUGAGAGAGGAGAUCUAAGAAUAGAGGAUCCAACAUAAGAAAAUGACAAAAUAAAGUCCCUGGAUGUCAUCCUGUGCCUCAAAACCAGUCAGGAUUGCAGCUGGGAUUGGGGGGUCCAGAGUGGAGGGCUUGAGGGAAAAAUAAAUUCAGUUGAAUAAGCUGAUGUGUCUGGCAUUUGGAAAACAACCAUUGCUACAAGAACAACAAAUUGAUAAAAAAAAAAAAAAAUAAGGAUUAUAACACUGGAAAUUUAAGCACAUGAACAAAUGAGGCAGUGGUUAACUGUGGGGAAAAUAGAAAGAGAAAACCAAAAAAAAAAAACCCACUAUUUAUUUCAAUAGUAAAUAACAAUUGCAUAGUUGUGAUAAUAUUAUUGAUUUAAUCCUCAGAUAUUGUGACCUAACUCUAUGGAAUGAAUGAGACUAGGAAAGGUAGAGUUCCAAUUUUAUCCUCCAUGAAAAGAAGUUAGUAGAUUUCUAAAAUUAGUCAAGAAAUAGCGAUUUAAGCAUUUUAUUUAGAAAUACACCAGAAGAAAUAGGUUAAAAAGGAAAGAGUCACCUCUUAUGACAGGUAUAGGGGAUUGGUGAAGUGGGAACUGCUGUUUCUCAUUAUAAGCCUUUGUUUGUUUGUUUACUAUUUGUUUUAAAUGCACAUGUGUUAUUUCGAUAAGAUUUAAUUAAUUCGUUAAACUUUUUUUUUAGGGGACUGGCUGUAUCAUCUACUAGUUUGCUCCCCUUUGACAUGUAAAUUACAUGGUACUGACAAAUACCUUGAUUGAACAUCUGAA